AGUGAACGCUGGCGGUAGGCCUAACACAUGCAAGUCGAACGGCAGCACAGUAAGAGCUUGCUCUUACGGGUGGCGCGUGGCGGACGGGUGAGGAAUACAUCGGAAUCUACUUUUUCGUGGGGGAUAACGUAGGGAAACUUACGCUAAUACCGCAUACGACCUACGGGUGAAAGCAGGGGAUCUUCGGACCUUGCGCGAUUGAAUGAGCCGAUGUCGGAUUAGCUAGUUGGCGGGGUAAAGGCCCACCAAGGCGACGAUCCGUAGCUGUUCUGAGAGGAUGAUCAGCCACACUGGAACUGAGACACGGUCCAGACUCCUACGGGAGGCAGCAGUGGGGAAUAUUGGACAAUGGGCGCAAGCCUGAUCCAGCCAUACCGCGUGGGUGAAGAAGGCCUUCGGGUUGUAAAGCCCUUUUGUUGGGAAAGAAAAGCAGCAGGUUAAUACCCCGCUGUUCUGACGGUACCCAAAGAAUAAGCACCGGCUAACUUCGUG
rnacentral:rRNA from 1 species